rnacentral:lncRNA from 1 species
CAGAAAAGAGAAAAUUCACAAAAAAUAUCAAAUGACAAAAUAAAAAAUAUUAAAAAUCAAAAUUAGAAACUAGAAAUUAUUUGGAGAAGAAUGCAAUUGGUCCCAUAUUUUUUGGAAUUAAAAUGAAGAAGAUAUGAAUUUUUGAAAAUAAUGGGAAUAAAAGAAAUAAAAUCAGAAAAUAAGAAAAUCAAAAAAACCAGGAGCGUUAGAUCUGAACUCAUUAAUUGAGUUGGAAGAUCAUACGCUUCAGAAGCG